rnacentral:rRNA from 1 species
GACGAACGCUGGCGGCGUGCUUAACACAUGCAAGUCGAACGGAAAGGCCCUGCUUUUGUGGGGUGCUCGAGUGGCGAACGGGUGAGUAACACGUGAGUAAACUGCCCUUGACUUUGGGAUAACUUCAGGAAACUGGGGCUAAUACCGGGUAGGAGCUCCUGCUGCAUGGUGGGGGUUGGAAAGUUUCGGCGGUUGGGGAUGGACUCGCGGCUUAUCAGCUUGUUGGUGGGGUAGUGGCUUACCAAGGCUUUGACGGGUAGCCGGCCUGAGAGGGUGACCGGCCACAUUGGGACUGAGAUACGGCCCAGACUCCUACGGGAGGCAGCAGGGGGGAAUAUUGCACAAUGGGCGGAAGCCUGAUGCAGCAACGCCGCGUGCGGGAUGACGGCCUUCGGGUUGUAAACCGCUUUCGCCUGUGACGAAGCGUGAGUGACGGUAAUGGGUAAAGAAGCACCGGCUAACUACGUG